rnacentral:rRNA from 1 species
CCUACGGGCGGCUGCAGUGGGGAAUAUUGGACAAUGGGGGGAACUCUGAUCCAGCGACGCCGCGUGAGUGAAGAAGUAUUUCGGUAUGUAAAGCUCUAUCAGCAGGGAAGAAAGAAAUGACGGUACCUUGCUCAGAAGCCCCGGCUAACUACGUGCCAGCAGCCGCGGUAAUACGUAGGGGGCAAGCGUUAUCCGGAUUUACGGGGUGUAAAGGGAGCGUAGACGGCGAUGCAAGUCUGAAGUGAAAGGCCGGGGCCCAACCCCCGGACUGCAUUGGAAACUGUGUGGCUGGAGUGCAGAAGAGGAAAGUGGAAUUCCUAGUGUAGCGGUGAAAUGCGUAGAUAUAAGGAGGAACACCAGUGGCGAAGGCGGCUUACUGGACUGUAACUGACGUUGAGGCUCGAAAGCGUGGGGAGCAAACAGGAUUAGAUACCCUAGUAGUC